CACAACGCAUUAUCUGUUCAUAGUUGUCGUAGCUGUUAACAGCACGCUGCUGACUAUUAAUGCUGGAGACUACAUAUUCUACACUGAUUGGGCAUGGACUUCAUUCGUCGUGUUCUCUAUAUCGCAGUCAACGAUGCUUGUUGUGGGUGCCAUCUAUUACAUCUUGUUUACGGGAGUGCCUGUGACAGCAACCUACUAUGCCCCUAUAAUUACGAUUUCUACGUGGUGUGGAAAAGGAGCUUGGUUUGCUCUUGGAUAGUUAUACGACUUGGUUGGGAAACAAGAAGGAACAAACACGCUGCGAUACUAAUAGGAGGAACAUUGGUUGGACUUUCACUGCCGAUGUUUAACAUGAUCAACCUAUUGACCAUACGCGACCCGUUGGAGAUGGCAUUCAAGUAUCCUAGACCUACGCUACCUCCAUACAUGACGCCAAUCGAACCUCAAGUCGGUAAAUUCUAUAAUAGUCCAGUAGCCUUAGGAGCUGGCGCGGGAGCCGUGCUAUCUGUGCCAAUCGCAGCUUUGGGUGCAAAACUCAAUACGUGG
rnacentral:rRNA from 1 species